GUUGUCUCGCGAGAUUCCAGUCCCACUAUUAGCCAGGUCGAGAGGUUGGCGCGUUCUUUUCUGCGGUGCGGUUGGAAGAGAAACUUAAAGACAAAAAGUGAUGGAUAAAUCAGGAAUGGACCCUGUUAAUUAUAUGACAUCAGAUAAAGCUGUGGAAAUUGAAAACCAAAGUGAUAGCUCAUCUGGUAGCAGCUUAUUUAAAACACAAUGUGUCCCUUCCUUACCUAAACGGACUCAAAGAAAGCCCAUUAGAAAAUUUAUUCAUAUACCUGAAAGUAUUCAAACAGAUUCAUCGAGUGACUCAUCUAUAGAACCAAGACCACUGACUUUAAAAGCUAUUUUUGAAAGAUUCAAGCAAAAGAAGAAACGUAGAAAGAGGAAAUACAAGCCAAAAUUAAGACCAAAGGGACAACCAAAAGGAAGGAGAAACCCUAGAAGAAAGUCACAAAUAGAUAAAAAACAAAUUAAAGACAAAGGACCCACAUUUCCAUUUUUACAAUUGGAGGAUGGAAGAAAACCAUUACCUUGGAGGAAAAUUUUAAGUUUUGAGCAAGCUGUUGCAAGAGGAUUUUUUAACUACAUUGAAAAACUGAAGUAUGAACACCACCUUAAGGAAUCAUUGAAACAGAUGAAUGUUGGUGAAGAUUUAGAAAAAGAAGAUCUUGACAGUCGUAGAUACAAAUACUUGGAUGAUGAUGGUUCCAUUUCUCCUAUUGAAGAGCCAGAAGCAGAAGAUGAGACACAUCUUGAACAUGAUGAAUGUGAUAUCAAAUUGGUACAAGAGAGUUGUUUCAUACUAAGUUCUGAAUUUCCAAACAAGAUGAAUGUGUAUUUACGAGAAAACAAUAAAGAAGCUGCUCUGUCUAUAAAGGAAGUUUCUAAGGCCAGAAAUACUGGGCAGAAGACAGAAAGGCCUGAAAAAGAGACAAACACGAAUGUCAGAAGGUUUCUGUCUUGAAUAUGGGGUUGGAGUUGAAGAUUGUCUUACUGUGUUUGGAUCAUGUUUAAAUGUAGUAAGUAACAGAUUAAAAUUUCCACAAGUUUUAAUAAAAGAUUGUUGGCUUUCUUUAAUUCCAGUUAGGACUUUGAAUGCCAAAAACCUUAGAUUAAAGCAUUUUAUAUACUGGUACCAAUUACAUUGUUCUUGAAAUGUAAUUCACUCAAAAUAGGGCACAUAGGCAAAAAAAAACAUCAACAGUCCAGUAGUGAAGGUCAUAUGAUUCAUACUAAUUCGUACUAUUUUUUUUUCCCUUGGUUAAUCUAGCUACCUAGCUGAUGGCAUAGGCUUAUAGUCCCUGUACUCAGGAGGUUGAGUGAGGCAGGAGGAUUACAAGUUAGAGCUCAGCCUGGACUAUCUAGUGAGACAGUCUCAAACAAAAAACUCAAAGCCACUUGCUGAUACUUGCAUAUUUUUAUUUUAUCAGUCUAUUCUGGCUGCUAAACAAGCUUGUUAAAAAUCAUUAUAAAAUGAUGACUUUACUUGGGCAAUUAAGUAGUUUUCAUCUCCAUUUCUAAUUUUGUAUUUUGCUGGAGCACAUCACAAUUCCGAUUUAUCACUGCGAUCCUAGGGUGUCUUGAGGUCUAUCCCGAUGGGGCCUUUCUUGUGGCCACACAUUGUUGGAAACGCCUCAUAGAGUAACACUGGUUUUGCUUUGCUCACAGGUCUAUUUAUUAGGCCUGUGAUAAGGCACUACAAGACAGCAGAAAGUAUGGAAGGCCUAAUUUUUCUUUUAACUUUAGGUAUUUGCACGUUCUAGAGAUCUAUACUACUCUGAAUAGCUUAGGAAAUGAAUAUGAAUUCAUGUGCAUGUUUAGAGAAGGUGUCUUCAAGGCAGAUCCAUCUAUCCUAAGUGCUCCCAAAGUUUAAACUGCUGAAAGGAAUUUGCAUGUAAAAGAUCCCAGGGCAGAUAGGACAACUGGAUUAAGCAUCAGUUCUUUGGAAAAGGGCUAUCUUGAAGACAAGGAAUCACAUGUGAAAUUACUUAAAAAUUUAUUUUUAUUUAAUUUUUGCCCAAUUUUUGUCUUAUUAAUUUAAAAUACUUUUUUACACGUGUUAUAGAAAGUCAGCACAUAUUUCUGGCGCGAAGUUUCUCUAGUGUUUUCUGUAGAAGGAAUAAAAUUACUC